rnacentral:rRNA from 1 species
GAUGAACGCUGGCGGCGUGCCUAAUACAUGCAAGUCGAGCGAACAGGCGAGGAGCUUGCUCCUCUGACGUUAGCGGCGGACGGGUGAGUAACACGUGGAUAACCUACCUAUAAGACUGGGAUAACUUCGGGAAACCGGAGCUAAUACCGGAUAAUAUAUUGAACCGCAUGGUUCAAUAGUGAAAGACGGUUUUGCUGUCACUUAUAGAUGGAUCCGCGCCGCAUUAGCUAGUUGGUAAGGUAACGGCUUACCAAGGCAACGAUGCGUAGCCGACCUGAGAGGGUGAUCGGCCACACUGGAACUGAGACACGGUCCAGACUCCUACGGGAGGCAGCAGUAGGGAAUCUUCCGCAAUGGGCGAUAGCCUGACGGAGCAACGCCGCGUGAGUGAUGAAGGUCUUCGGAUCGUAAAACUCUGUUAUUAGGGAAGAACAAAUGUGUAAGUAACUAUGCACGUCUUGACGGUACCUAAUCAGAAAGCCACGGCUAACUACGUG